AACGAACGCUGGCGGCAUGCCUAAUACAUGCAAGUCGAACGAGAUCUUCGGAUCUAGUGGCGCACGGGUGCGUAACGCGUGGGAAUCUGCCCUUGGGUUCGGAAUAACUUCUGGAAACGGAAGCUAAUACCGGAUGAUGACGUAAGUCCAAAGAUUUAUCGCCCAAGGAUGAGCCCGCGUAGGAUUAGCUAGUUGGUGGGGUAAAGGCCCACCAAGGCGACGAUCCUUAGCUGGUCUGAGAGGAUGAUCAGCCACACUGGGACUGAGACACGGCCCAGACUCCUACGGGAGGCAACAGUAGGGAAUAUUGGACAAUGGGGGAAACCCUGAUCCAGCAAUGCCGCGUGAGUGAUGAAGGCCUUAGGGUUGUAAAGCUCUUUUACCCGGGAUGAUAAUGACAGUACCGGGAGAAUAAGCUCCGGCUAACUCCGUG
rnacentral:rRNA from 1 species